rnacentral:ribozyme from 15 species
AGUGAAACGAAGUGAAUAAAGAUAAGAAACGUAAAGACAGGACAUGUGGUUAUAUGCUGUUCCUAUUAACUGAGAGACUCUUUAUGUUAUUCUACUUUUGUUUCUCUUU